rnacentral:rRNA from 1 species
AUAACUAAGCGGAGGAAAAGAAACCAAACGGGAUUCCCUGAGUAACGGCGAGCGAAAAGGGAGCAGUCCAGCACCAAGUCUUGACACGUCAAGUGCUCAAGAGAUGCGGUGUUAAUGCGCUGGCGCAUCGUACACUGUUCUGGGUUUCAAGUUCCCUUGACAGGGACUUCCGGAGCGGGUGCUAGGCCCAUAGAGGUCCGGAACCGGUGUAUGCAGGCCAGUGCAUUCUAGAGUCAGGUUGCUUGAGAGUGCAGCUUAAAGUAGGUGGUAAACUCCAUCCAAGACUAAAUAAUACAGCGAGACCGAUAGCAAACAAGUACCGUGAGGGAAAGUUGCAAAGCACUUUGAAGAGAGAGUUCAAAAGUACGUGAAACCACUGGGAGGCAAACGGAUGGAACCACGAAGUUGGCGCCGAGAACGAUUCAAUCAUCAUUUUUUAUGGUGGUGCAUUUCGAUUCUCGGAUGCAAAGCCACGUUCGACCAGAYAGCUGAGACGGCUGUAGGACAGAAUCUGGAACAGGUGGCCGAUGGUUACUUGUAACUGUUGGUGUUAUAGUUCYRGAUUGGCACCGUCGUCGAGCCAGCUGGUCGAUGCAAAUUCUCCCCAUGGGAGUAGUCGACUGAUCGUUGCUUUCGGUUGAGAAUUUCGGAUUACAUGUUGUUCUUGGUACAUCCUGUGGUGUAACAAGGCAAUGUGGCAAUCUGGAUUCGAUCUGAAACAUACGAUCGGUAGAACUGUGGCGCGAGUAGGUCGGUGUCCAUCCGACCCGUCUUGAAACACGGACCAAGGAGCCUAACAUGCACGCGAGUCGCUCGGUCUUGAACAGGCCCGGGAGGCGGAAUGAAAGUAAAACUACGAARUCGMAAGAUUGCAGUAGUGGCUCGCCUACUUUGUUUAUUGGCAAUCGGGCGAAGCUGGAGCGUGUACGUUGGUACCCGAAAGAUGGUGAACUAUGCCUGGGCAAGACGAAGCCAGAGGAAACUCUGGUGGAGGUCUGUAGCGAUUCUGACGUGCAAAUCGAUCGUCAGACCUGGGUAUAGGGGCGAAAGACUAAUCGAACCAUCUAGUAGCUGGUUCCCUCCGAAGUUUCCCUCAGGAUAGCAGGCGCCCGAUAGAAUCAGUGUCAUCCGGUAAAGCUAAUGAUUAGAGGUCUUGGGGCUAAAACGGCCUCAACCUAUUCUCAAACUUUAAAUGGGUGAGAUGGUUGACUUUCUUGAUAAUGAAAGUGAAGCCAACCAAUAGGAUGAAUGGGUGCCUAGUGGGCCAGCUUUGGUAAGCAGAACUGGCGCUGUGGGAUGAACCAAACGUCGAGAUAAGGCAUCGAAUGCAUACGCUCAUGAGAUCCCAUGAAAGGUGUUGGUUGCUAUAGACAGCAGGACGGUGGCCAUGGAAGUCGGAAUCCGCUAAGGAGUGUGUAACAACUCACCUGCCGAAGCAACUAGCCCUGAAAAUGGACGAUGCUGUAGCGUGGAGCCGAUACUCGACCGUAAUGGCGAUGCCUGGAAAGGAUGCGAAGCUGUUACGAGUAGGAGGGCCGCGGUGAUGGCGUUGAAGGUGUCGGACGUGAGUCCGCCUGGAGCCGUCACUGGUGCAGAUCUUGGUGGUAGUAGCAAAUACUCAAGUGAGAAUCUUGAGGACUAACGUGGAGAAGGGUUCCAUGUGAACAGCAGUUGGACAUGGUUCAGUCGGUCCUAAGGGAGCAGAGAAAUCUGUUGAAACGGCCUAAUUWWUUAUAAAUBAAWWAAAAAUAGGUCGAUUUCCCGAAAGGGAAUCGGGUCAAUAUUCCCGAACUGAGACAGGGAGGUCGUGCUUUCGGGCACAAAUGCGGUAACGCAAUCAAAUUCGGAGACAUCGGCGGCAGUCCCGGGAAGAGUUGUCUUUUCUCUAUAAGGCCUUGAAUCCAUGAAAACAGCUUGUCUGGAGAUAUGGAAGCUGGGGCCGAAGAGCUCAGCGGUUCUUGCUGAGUCCGGUGCGCUGCUGUCGGUCCUUGAAAAUCCGAAGGCGAUACAAUUGCCUCCGUGCUCAGCCGUACCAAUAACCGCAGCAGGUCUCCAAGGUUAGCAGCCUCUAGUCGAUAGAAUAAUGUAGGUAAGGGAAGUCGGCAAAACAGAUCCGUAACUUCGGGACAAGGAUUGGCUCUGAAGGAUGGGCCGGUCGGGCUGUGGUCCGAUGUAGGUGAUGCGCCCGACUCUGGGACUGGAUAUCGGCCUUUCGGUUGAAGUCUGGACCUGUGUUGGCGCCUGCCUACGGAAGGCCAUGGCUACGCCUCGGUGCCCUGUGUGCCGAGUAACGUUUCGGCCGGCAUGAAACAUCUGAAUCAGAACUGGCACGGACCCCGGGAAUCCGACUGUCUAAUUAAAACAAAGCAUUGCGAUGGCCGGAGAUUGGUGUUGACGCAAUGUGAUUUCUGCCCAGUGGUAUGAAUGUUAAUGUGAAGAGAUUCACUUAAGCGCUACUAAACGGCGGGAGUAACUAUGACUCUCUUAAGGUAGCCAAAUG